GUUAGCAGAUGAAGCUACGGGUUUGUGAGCUCAGAUGCAGUGAGCAGAGUCUGUCGGAUAGGGUUGAUGAGAUUAAAGGUUUUGUAAUGAUGGGUCAAGAUUUGUGUGGUGGAUAAAAAAGUUGUGUUGAUCAGGUCGAUUACCGGGUGUUUUGUACAACAGGCCAUAUUGAACCAGAGGGUUCUAUCAAUCUUGAAGCUGUGUUUUACUUGAGUUAACUGGUGUGUUUUUCUCAAGUUCAGUGUUAAAACUACGGAGUCCAUCAGAGUUUUUCUCAAGUUCAGUGAUAAAUCUAUGGAGUCUAUCAGAGAUUAUCAAGCAUCAUGUGAUUAUUGAAGGUCAGGUUUUUUUAGUGGUAAUCGGAGAUUUAAAAGUUCUUUUCUUUGUCUCUAACUACGUGUCAGAGAUUUCUAUGUGUAUUAGGAAAGAGAAUUUGGAAUUUUAUUCUGUAACCAUCUUUGUGGGACUAUCACUAUAAAUAAUGGGGAUGGAGUUUAUAUGUGUUCUUCAUCGUUCGGAUACUAGUCAAGUUUGAGGUCAGUUUCAUAA
rnacentral:misc_RNA from 1 species